AGGGAAUUUUCUGAAUGAAUAUUCAACUGAAAAUAUUUAAAUAGAAAAGAAGAUGAGUAUGCUGUGUGUGUAUGUACGAGGAGAUGCAGGUGCCCUUUCCUGCAUUGCCUGUUAUGCUGUCAAACCUCCCAUUUGGGCAGGCCUGAGGAGAGACAGCUCACUCAGUAUCAGCUUGGGCAGCUUGAAGACCAGACUGAGGUCAUCUGAAGGCUCUCUAUUAAAUUUUUUUAAUAGAGAUAAAAAUGUGAGUAUCCCAGAAGGAAGCUUUUAUGACAGCAUAGAAAGUCACAUAGCAUCAAUUCUGUUUUAGUCACAGACCCUCAUAGACCCAAGAUCCUUCAAAGAAAGAAUGAGUGUUACAUAAAAGAUGAUAAUAUUGGAUGGGGUUGCAGUUUGCUUAGUCCCUAGCUUAGUUAGGUCCAAGUUCUUGUCAAACAACCAAUAAGAAUAAGGGACAUGGACACCAGAGAAUGAGUAGAAUAGGAUUUAUUAAGCAAAUUGAAAGCUCUUAGCAAAAAGAGGGGGCCUGAAAGCAAGUUGCCAGAAAUGGGGCUGAGUUCUGUGUUUUUGAUAUGGCAGAAGUCAGGAUGUUUUCUGUGGGUUUGUGACUUCAUGUUUGUUAUUACCCAUGAAUACCUAAGCAAAACCGAGGGAGGGCUAACACAACAAUACUAAUGCCAUGUUAAUGACAUUAUAAUGAGCUGGGUUAAGUUAAGUACAUUUAGGUUGAUUU
ensembl:lncRNA novel transcript